ACAAGUUCAACGGCCGCGGUAUUUUGACCGUGCAAAGGUAGCGCAAUCACUUGUCUUUUAAAUAGAGACCUGUAUGAAUGGCUAAACGAGGGCUUAACUGUCUCCCUUUUCAGGUCAGUGAAAUUGAUCUACCCGUGCAGAAGCGGGUAUAACAAUACAAGACGAGAAGACCCUUUGGAGCUUAAGGUACAAAACUCAACCACGUCAAGCAACUUAAUAAAAAGUAAAAACUUUGUGAAACAUGAGAUUUUACCUUCGGUUGGGGCGACCGCGGAGGAAAAUAAAGCCUCCAAGUGGACCGGGACAAACUCCUAAAACCAAGAGAAACAUCUCUAAGCCACAGAACAUCUGACCAAACAUGAUCCGGCCACCAGGACCGAUCAACGAACCAAGUUACCCUAGGGAUAACAGCGCAAUCCCCUCCCAGAGUCCAUAUCGACGAGGGGGUUUACGACCUCGAUGUUGGAUCAGGACAUCCUAAUGGUGCAGCCGCUAUUAAGGGUUCGUUUGUUCAACGAUUAAAGUCCUACGUGAUC
rnacentral:rRNA from 1 species